GCAUAACUUCUUCAUUUCUUGUCCGUUUUCGUCGAUUCUUUUUCCAGAACGCUUGGCUUGACCUUGGCUUCGAUUCUAGGGGUGUUUCACAGCAAACAAGUCUUUGGAACUCCGGCAAAAAGGCUUCAAAGUCCACUGUUUAAGUUGAUGAUGACGAUGCUAUGAAAAGAAGUAGCGUUGAUGCCUAGAUACACAUAUAGACUUGUUGUUACUUGA
rnacentral:lncRNA from 1 species